UGCCAAUUUUAAGGUGUUGAUUUAGUUUCCGUACACAUACAUCUAUUUAUGGCUAUAUUUGUCUAAAUGCGUACGACCCCUGCAGGCCUGCACCCCCAUCCUGCCCCCUACCUCCCUAGCCCCACCCUGUACAAUCCUUCUCCCAUCUCUUAUACCCCCUCCCUGCACUGCAUCCCUCUUUUACAGCCCGUUUCCCAGCCCCUAAACCUACCCCUACCUCUCUGCCCCUACCCAUCCCCUACAUCCCUGCCUGCACUUUCCCCCACUUCCCUACACCCCCUGCCUGCACCUACUGCACUCAUCCCUUGCACCCCCUCCCUACACAUGUACCCCUCUAUGCAUGCCCCCUCCCUGUACUACAUCCUCCUAGCAUGCUAAAAAACAUCACCCUAUAUAUUGACUGCACACUGCCCUCCCUAACCAAAGCUACACAAAUAAAAAAUUUAAAGGAGAAAAGUACAUGGCCAUAACUUCUUGUGUUUUCUUGUUCGUCUUUAGAAACUCGCCACUGACAUUGGUGGAAUGAAGUUGCUUUUUUUGUUCCCUGCUCUCAGAUUUCUUAUGUUUUCCUGAUACAAAAUAACAAAUCAAUGACAAGAACUAUUGACAUAAAUGGAAAGACUACUUAAAUCAUCCUUAGUUCAAAACAUACCUUUUUUUUGUAACUCUAAUUUCAGGUAAAUUUUCAAGUUCUUUCUCAAGUUCUUACAUCUCAUGCUCGUCGUUACAGGGAACAUCAUUAUAGCACACGUGUUGCAUUGAUUUUGUUUUUUUUAUUAUUUUUUUUUGUUAAUUUUUUUUUUGUUAUUUUAUUAUUUUUUUUUUUUUAUUUUUAUUUUUUUUAUCAAAGGCAUUCAAUUAUUGUUAUCUAUGAAUCUUUUCUAUUUUAUGUCUUUGGGUAUAGGUGUGUAUCUAACAGAAUAGAUACUUUCAGUAACGGUGACAACCGUACGGCUUGUAAUGUGUGUUAAAUGUAUCUGGCUAGUGUUACAUUUUAUUCUACCAUUCUUGAUGUCUAGAUGAUGCUGUUGUUGCUGCCCCAUGUGCCUUUCCUUAGUUCAUUUUAAUUUUUCAGUUUUGAUUAUAAUUGGAGGUGCAACUCAAGUUCCAAAAGUUGCAUGAUUCUAAUGAGAGGCGAAGCUAAGUAAAUUGAAUAUGGCUUAGGAAGAUUUUAGCUUUGUGAUUUGAAUUUCUGGUGAGCCAGAUGAACCUGACAUAGGGUUCUCCUUUCAGAUCAGUGAUGACAACCCCUAUGUCAUACCCGAGACGGAACCCACACAACAGAAGCAGAUCCAGGAAUGCAAUUGGCAGGUUGUCAAUGUAAUUAACCACCCCUGCUAACUACAUUCAUGUUUUGCAUCGUCAAGGUCAUCAUGGUUUUGAUAAACAAGGUACCUGAUUCAAGCGGCUCGCUAAGGAUCAGAAAAUGCACUCAGAUUGUUAGGAGAGCAUUAUGCGUUUGAUUUUAUGCUCUGGGAAAGAAGAAACAAAAUAGCAGCGAUAUUGCCAUCUAUGGAGUGGAGCAGCUUUGCCCUUUCCCAUAUGACCUUGUCCAUUGAGAGUUGAAUCGAUAUCCAAAUGCUGAGGUAGUCUGGUGUCAGGAAGAGCCAAUGAACAUGGGCGCUUACAGCUAUAUUGCACAGUCUAUGUCCAACAAUGAAAUCUUUCGACAGAGGAAGUGCUGACGACAUUGAGUAUGUUGGGCGCCUUCCAUCUGCUGCAAUUGCUACUGGUUUUAUUUCAGUUCAUAGCAAAGGACAGAUCAAGCUUCGGCAGAAGGCAUUGCAGUCAGAGCCAAUCCCAUUCCCUUGAGCCAGUAGGCUGGUGGUGCAUGCUUAACACAGAUGGAGCAGCAAAGGGCCCUCUUGGGCUAGCUGGGUGAGGGGAUAUUAUCAUAGAUGAGACAAGUUAAUUUUGGGUGUUCUGCCAACUUUGGGUGUUGCUCAGCCUUUCGAGCUGAAAUUCUGGCGCUUAAGAAGGGUCUGAUCUUAGCCAGGUGAAUGAUGCGGAUGAAUGAGUUGAAAUUCUUGCGCUUAAGAAGUUCUAUCAAAUUAAACGAGCAAGAUGAUGCGGGUGAAUGUGCCCACUUAAUCAAUUUCUGUAAAGAUUUGAUACAAAAGGAAGAAUGGGAAGUCCAGAUACUCCAUGUCUAUCGUGAAGGCAAUCGUGCAGCGGACUAGCCUGCUAACAUUGGUGUAGCUCAAUCAAAUAAUUUUAGUUCAUUGUUAGAUGUUCCUUUAGAACUAGCUAGGAUCCUAAAGGAGGAUAUCCAAGGAUGGCUAUUCCACGAUUGGUUCCCACUUAGUGUCCUGCUGGUGUCGUAGCUUUCUAAAUUUUUUUAGUUGGUUUGUUGCUUUCUUGUUUUUGGUACCUGUACCUCGUUUGCCAAAAAAAAAAAAAAGAGAGAGAUAUUUUCUCAGAGAGAAAUGCAAGUAUGUCAUGUAAGAAAUAAAACAUGGACCUUUUAUCCGGCUUUCUUGGAGCAAUUAUUCUCCGGAGAAAGCUGGUGGUGCUCAAAACCUUUUUGAUUUUAAAAUCCUUUUUAUUUGCUAUUUUAAGAAAUAUAUACGAAGUACUGCAGUAAAAUUUUAUAAUAGGAACUGUUAUUAGCCAUUUGGCUCAUGUACAAUCUUUUAGGAAAACAUGUUG